ACGUACACUCCUGCGGGAGGCAGCAGUGGGGAAUAUUGCACAAUGGGCGCAAGCCUGAUGCAGCCAUGCCGCGUGUAUGAAGAAGGCCUUCGGGUUGUAAAGUACUUUCAGCGGGGAGGAAGGUGUUGAGGUUAAUAACCUCAGCAAUUGACGUUACCCGCAGAAGAAGCACCGGCUAACUCCGUGCCAGCAGCCGCGGUAAUACGGAGGGUGCAAGCGUUAAUCGGAAUUACUGGGCGUAAAGCGCACGCAGGCGGUCUGUCAAGUCGGAUGUGAAAUCCCCGGGCUCAACCUGGGAACUGCAUUCGAAACUGGCAGGCUAGAGUCUUGUAGAGGGGGGUAGAAUUCCAGGUGUAGCGGUGAAAUGCGUAGAGAUCUGGAGGAAUACCGGUGGCGAAGGCGGCCCCCUGGACAAAGACUGACGCUCAGGUGCGAAAGCGUGGGGAGCAAACAGGAUUAGAUACCCCUGUAGUCCC
rnacentral:rRNA from 1 species